rnacentral:rRNA from 1 species
GACGAACGCUGGCGGCGUGCUUAACACAUGCAAGUCGAACGGCAAGGCCCUUCGGGGUACUCGAGUGGUGAACGGGUGCGUAACACGUGGGUGAUCUGCUCUGCACUUUGGGAUAAGCCUGGGAAACCGGGCCUAAUACCGACUAGUACCACGCGCUUCCUGGUGUGUGGUGGAAAGCUUUUGCGGCGUGGGAUGGGCUCGCGGCCUAUUAACUGGUUGUUGAUGUAAUGUCCUGUCACGGCGACGCCGGGUAGCCGGCCUGAGAGGGGGACCGGCCAAACGACGACUGAGAUACGGCCGGGAGUCGUACGGAAGGCAGCAGUAUGGAAUAGUGCACAAUCGAGGCAAGCCUGGUGAAGCAACGCUGCGUGAUGGAUGGCGGCCUUCUGGUAGUAAACCUCUUUCAAAAGGAACGAUGCGCAAGUGACGGUACCUAAAGAAGAAGCACCGGCCAACUACGUG